GGCAACUAUGGCUCUGUGGGAAGAGUAGCUGUCUCGCAAUCUGACAGUUGUUGGUUCAAUUCCAACUGCCAUAUGUCG